GUGUCAGCAGCCGCGGUAAUACGUAGGGGGCGAGCGUUGUCCGAAUUCACUGGGCGUAAAGCGCGCGUAGGCGGGCUUUUAAGUUGUGGGUGAAAUCCCGAGGCUUAACCUCGGAGCUGCCUGCAAAACUGGAAGCCUUGAGGUUUGGAGAGGGAAGUGGAAUUCCAGGUGUAGCGGUGAAAUGCGUAGAUAUCUGGAGGAACACCCGUGGCGAAGGCGGCUUCCUGGCCAUAUCCUGACGCUGAGGUGCGAAAGCUAGGGGAGCGAACGGGAUUAGAUACCCCGGUAGUCCUAGCCGUAAACGAUGGAUACUAGGUGUUAGAGGUAUCGACCCCUCUAGUGCCGGAGCUAACGCAUUAAGUAUCCCGCCUGGGGAGUACGACCGCAAGGUUGAA
rnacentral:rRNA from 1 species